CAGUCGCCACGGGAAUACGAAGGGGGCUAGCGUUGUUCGGAAUUACUGGGCGUAAAGCGCACGUAGGCGGACAUUUAAGUCAGGGGUGAAAUCCCGGGGCUCAACCCCGGAACUGCCUUUGAUACUGGGUGUCUAGAGUAUGGAAGAGGUGAGUGGAAUUCCGAGUGUAGAGGUGAAAUUCGUAGAUAUUCGGAGGAACACCAGUGGCGAAGGCGGCUCACUGGUCCAUUACUGACGCUGGGGUGCGAAAGCGUGGGGAGCAAACAGGAUUAGAGACCCCCGUAGUCCCUGUCUCUUAACA
rnacentral:rRNA from 1 species